ensembl:lncRNA
GUCCCCACGUCCCCACGUCCCCACGUCCCCAUGUUCCAGUGUCUUUGUGCCCCAAUGUCCCCGUGUCCCCACGUCCCCGUGUCCCCAAUGUCCCCGUGUCCCAAUGUCCCCAUGUCCCCAAUGUCUCCAUGUCCCCACACCCCCAUGUCCCCAUGUUCCAAUGUCUCUGUGUCCCGAUGUCCCCAUGUCCCAUUGAUCAUUCCCCAUUGAUCAUUUCCCAUUGAUCAUCUCCCAUUGAUCAUUUCCCAUUGAUCAUCUCCCACUGAUCGUUUCCCAUUGAUCAUUCCCCAUUCAUCAUUUCCCAUUCAUCAUUUCCCAUUCAUCAUUUCCCAUUGAUCAUUUCCCAUUGAUCAUUUCCCAUUGAUCAUUUCCCAUUGAUCAUUCCCCAUUGAUCAUCUCCCAUUCAUCAUUUCCCAUUGAUCAUUUCCCAUUGAUCAUUUCCCCAUUGAUCAUUUUCCAUUCAUCAUUUCCCAUUGAUCAUUUUCCAUUCAUCAUUUCCCAUUGAUCAUUUCCCACUGAUUAUUCCCCAUUGAUCAUUCCCCAUUCAUCAUUUCCCAUUGAUCAUCUCCCAUUGAUCAUCUCCCAUUGAUCAUGUCCCAUUGAUCAUGUCCCAUUCAUCAUUUCCCAUUGAUCAUUUCCCAUUGAUCAUUCCCCAUUGAUCAUUUCCCAUUGAUCAUUUCCCAUUGAUCAUUCCCCAUUGAUCAUGUCCCAUUGAUCAUCUCCCAUUCAUCAUUUCCCAUUGAUUGUUUCCCAUAGAUCACUUCCCAUUGAUUAUUUCCCACUGAUCAUCUCUCAUUGAUCAUCUCCUAUUGAUCAUCUCCCACUGAUCAUCUCUCAUUGAUCAUUUCCCAUUCAUCAUUUCCCAUUCAUCAUUUCCCAACAUUUCAGACUUCAUUUGGGACCCCAUUUGGAACCACAUUCGGGGCCUCAUUUGGGACCAAUUUGGGAUCAUUUUGAGAUGAGUUUGGGAUCCCAUUUCAGACCCCAUUCGGGACCAGUUUGGGACCAGUUUGGGACCCCAUUUGGGACCAGUUUGGGAUCAGUUUGUGUCCCCAUUUGGGGUCAAUUUGGGACCCCAUUUCCAGCCCCAUUUGGGGUCAAUUUGGGACCAGUUUGGGACCCCAUUUCCAGCCCCAUUUGGGGUCAAUUUGGGACCAGUUUGGGACCAGUUUGGGAUCAGUUUGUGUCCCCAUUUGGGACCAGUUUGGGACCAGUUUGGGACUCCAUCUGGGGUCAAUUUGGGACCCCAUUUCCGGCCCCAUUUGGGGUCAAUUUGGGACCAGUUUGGGACCAGUUUGCGUCCCCAUUUGGGACCAGUUUGGGACCCCAUUUCCGGCCCCAUUUGGGAUCAGUUUGUGUCCCCAUUUCCGGCCCCAUUUCCGGCCCCAUUCAGGCCCCAUUUGGGGCCGUGCUGGGGCGGCUGCGGCUGUUGCACAAGCGCCGUGCGCUCUUGUGUGUGCACACGCGCGUGUGUGUGUGUGUGUGUGUGCGCGCCCCCCCCCCCCAGCGUUGCACAACCGCCGCCGUCCCCGCACGUGAGCGCGGCUCGGGGCACACGUGGGCGGCCCCGUGA